rnacentral:ribozyme from 1 species
UGGUGUUUUAUUGCACUGAUAGAAUAUGGAUCCGAAACCUCUCGAAGAGUUAUUAAGACUCUCCAUACUCUACUCCUACUCACUACGUCCUCGGCAUGUAACAUGUGUCUCCAAAUAUCUGGAUAAAACCCAACACCUUGGAAGGAUGACUCAAACAAGAAGAAGGGG